AGAAACCAAGGAGACCAGCAGCAGACCACCAGUGGGUACCAAGGAGACACCAGACCAGGCUCUUGGUAACGACCUUGACAGCAUCUAUGCAGCGUCCGUCUCCCCAAACCCACAGGAUGUACUCAAGAUGCUGGCUCAGAAUGCAGAUGUCCCUGGAGAUGCUGUUGCGUCGGAGCAGCCAACAU